rnacentral:rRNA from 1 species
GACGAACGCUGGCGGCGUGCCUAAUACAUGCAAGUCGAACGCAUUUUCUUUCAUGGUAGCUUGCUACACCGAACGAAAGUGAGUGGCGAACGGGGGAGUAACACGUGGGUAACUUGACCAUCAGCGGGGGAUAAGACUUGGAAACAGGUGCUAAUCGCGCCUAAUUCCAUUUACCGCUUGGUAGAUGGUUGAACGGCGUUUUUGGCUCACUGAGGGAUGGAUCCGCGGUACAUUCGCUCGUUGGUGGGGUCACGGCCUACCAAGGCUGCGAUGCAUAGCGGACCCUAGAGUGUGAUCGGCCUCACUGGGACUGAGACACGGCCCAGGCUCCUGCGGGAGGCAGCAGUAGUGAAGCUUCGGCAACUGAGGCAAGUCUGACCGAGCAACGCCGCGCGGGUGAAGAAGGUUCUCGGAUUGUAAAACUCGGUUGUUAGAGAAGAACAAGGAUGAGAGUGGAACGUUCAGCCCUUGACGGUAUCUAACCAGAAAGCCACGGCUAACUACGCG